rnacentral:rRNA from 1 species
AUUGGGGGAAAAUUAGUAUAAUUAAAUUUAAUAAAAAUAAUUUUAAAAUAUUUAAUGGGGGUUAAAGUAUUUUUUAAAGAAAAAAUUUUAUAAUUUAUAGUUAAUUAGUAUUGUGAAAGAAGUUUGAAAUAUAUGAAAAAAAAAAUAUUGAAAAAGUAAAUUUAAUUUAUUGUAUCUUGUGUAUCAGAGUUUAUUAAUAAAAUUUUAUUGUGGUAAGAUUCUCGAAUUUAAAAGAGUUAAUUAAAUAAAAAAUUUAUUGUGGCAAAAAUAUUUUUCAUAUUUAAUUAGUAAUGAAAUGUUAAUCGUUUUUAAAUAUAUCUAGUUUUUUCAGAAAAAAAUUAAAUUUAAAAUAAAUUUAAUUAAAAAAUUAAUUAAAAAAUUUUUUAAAAGUUUAAUAUUUAAUAUUUUAAGGGAUAAGCUUUAAUUUAGAUAUUUAUAAUAAAGUUAAAUUUGAUUAAUUGAAAUUUAUAAAAUUUAUAUUUUUUAUUAAUUUUAAUUUUUUAUAAAUAAUUUUAUUUAAAAAUAAAAUUUAAUUUGAUUUAAAUUUUUAUGAAAAAAUAAAAUUUAAUUUUUAAAUUUUAGUUAUAAUGAUAAAAUUAGUAUAAUAAAUAUUAUUAAUUAAUUUAUAAUUUUAUUUAAAAUUAAUUAUUAGGAAUUCGGCAAAAAUUUAUAUUCACUUGUUUAUCAAAAACAUGUCUUUUUGAUCAAAAAUAGAAAGUCUAAUCUGCCCACUGAUAAGAUAAUUAAAGGGCUGCAGUAUUUUGACUGUACAAAGGUAGCAUAAUCAUUAGUCUCUUAAUUGGUGACUUGUAUGAAAGAUUGGAUGAGAUAUAAGCUGUCUUAUUUUUAUUUAUAGAAUUUAAUUUUUUAUUUAAAAAGUUAAAAUAUAUAUAAAAGACGAGAAGACCCUAUAGAGUUUUAUAUAAAUUAUUAAUUUAUAAUUUUUAUAUAAACUUUAAAUUUAAAUUAAAUUUUAUAUUUUAUUGGGGUGAUGAAAAAAUAAAAUAAACUUUUUUUAUAUGUAUAUAACAUUAAUAAAUGAUUAAAUGAUCCAUAAUUUAUGAUUAUAAGAAUAAAUUACCUUAGGGAUAACAGCGUAAUUUUUUUUUUUAGUUCAAAUAAAAAAAAAAGUUUGCGACCUCGAUGUUGGAUUAAGAUAAAAUUUAAAUGCAAAAGUUUAAAAUUUUGAUCUGUUCGAUCAUUAAAAUCUUACAUGAUCUGAGUUCAAACCGGUGUAAGCCAGGUUGGUUUCUAUCUUUAUAAAUAUAAUAUAUUUUAGUACGAAAGGAUCAAAUAUAUGGAAUAUUUUCAAAUAAAAGAAUUUUAUUAAAUUAUAUUUAAAAUAAAAAUAUAA